UCUUAAUGAACUACAAAGGAAGAUGAUUUAUCUUAUUUUGUACUUAUACACCGUGGGGAUCGUUUCUGACAGUGAAAUAAGUGUGUGUUUACUUUGAGAAAAUUAGAGUGUUCUAAGCAGUCUUACGGCUUUAUCCUAAAGCAUGGAAUGAUAAGUAAUGACAUCGGGUUAAUUUCUGUUGGUUUGAGAGGCUGAUGUAAUGAUUUAUAGAGUUAGUCGGAGGUAUUAGUAUUUUGUCGUUAGAGGUGAAAUUCUGGAAUCGACAAAAGACUAACAACUGCGAAGGCAUUUACCUAGGAUUUGCUCCUUGAUCAAGAACGUAAGUUGGGGGAUCGAAGACGAUCAGAUACCGUCGUAGUCUCAACUUUAAACUAUAUCAGCUAGGGGUUGGCAAAUGUUUAUAUGACUUUGUUAGAACCUUAAGAGAAAUCAAAGCGUUUGGGUUCCGGGGGGAGUAUGGUCGCAAGGCUGAAGCUUAAAGGAAUUGACGGAAGGGCACCACAAGAUGUGGAUCCUGUGGCUUAAUUUGACUCAACACUGGAAAACUUACCAGGUCCAGACAUAGGUAAGAUUGACAGAUUGAUAGCUCUUUCUUGAUUCUAUGGGUGGUGGUGCAUGGCCGUUCUUAGUUGGUGGAGUGAUUUGACUGGUUAAUUCCGUUAACGAACGAGACUAUUACCUGCUAAAUAGUGUAAUCUUUUAAUUAGGAUAUUUGCUUCUUAGAGGGACUGGCUUUGCAUAAAUUGCUGGAAGUUGGUAGCAAUAACAGGUCUGUGAUGCCCUUAGAUGUCCUGGGCAGCGCACGGGCUACAAUAGGAGAGUAAAUGAGUUUGUUCAACUUAGCUCGAAAAGGGCUGUGAAAUCUUAAAACUAUUCUUUAUUUGGGAUCGCGCUUUGAAAUUUUAACGUGUAAACCAGGAAUACCUAGUAAGUGUAUGUCAUCAACGUGCACUGAAUACGUCCCUGCCCUUU
rnacentral:rRNA from 1 species